rnacentral:rRNA from 1 species
AACAACUCACCUGCCGAAUGAAUUAGCCCUGAAAAUGGAUGGCGCUCAAGCGAGUAGCCGACACUGUGCCGUCUGAGAAAAAUAAAGAAAGAGAAGCAAAUUGCAGAACUUGACAAAUACACACAAAAAAUUCCAGAUGAGUAGGAGGAACGUGACGGUUGUAUAGAAGCGUGUGCGCAAGCAUGCGUGGAACGGCCGUUAGUGCAGAUCUUGGUGGUAGUAGCAAAUAUUCAAAUGAAAACCUUGAAGGGCGAAGCGGGGAAGGGUUCCACGCGAACAUUGAUUGGGCGUGGGUGAGUCGUUCCUAAGGCGUCUGGUAAUUGACUAGUUAUAUGCGGCGAAAGGGAAGCAGGUUUAUAUUCCUGCACACGGAUGUGGAAAUGCGGUCACGCACACUGGGGCGGUGAAGUCGUCGGUUGCACUGGGCAGAGAUUUCUUUUCUGUUUGACGGAGCCUGACUGUACACUAUGGAAUCCGCUUGUCGGGAGAAAUAGGUAUGUCACGGCAAAGCGCCGGGUUUUUUUUCUGGCGUCCAGUUUGCGACUGGCGGACCAUGAAAAGCUGUCUGCUGGCAAAACAACAAUGUUUUGUGUGAAAAAAAUUCCACNCCGUAACGUACCCAUAACCGCAUCAGGUCCCCAAGGUGAACAGCCUCUGCUCGAUAUGAAAAAUGCAGGUGAGGGAAGUCGGCAAAUUAGACCCGUAACUUUGGGAAAAGGGUUGGCUCUAGUGCUGCGUAGGAUGUGGUUGCUGGUUGUAGCCAUGGAAAAUGAGUCUAGUUUCACCAUUCCUCUGCGGCUGAAAGGUAGUGGAGAAAAUUUUGGAACAUGAUUCUUUUCUGUGGUUCCUGGNGACUGUACCUACAGCAUGCAGCAAACUASAACUGCAACGGACAAAGGGAAUCCGACUGUUUAAUUAAAACAAAGCAUU